ACGACUCUUCAUCUUCUUCUUCUUCAAUAUCAAAUUGUCAUAUGAUUUUUCCACUUCUCUGAGUUUUCCUGUAUGCAAUGAUGAAUUCAUCAUGCAGUCAGUUCUACUAUGGUCGAAUCCUCCGACUGCUCCGCCUCCGUCCGUCGUGGCCGACAAAAUAUUUGAGGCGAGUUCCAGAGUCGAGACCUCCGUUUGAUCCGCUUGCCUCCUCCGUAGUAGGCAAAACCGCUAGGUCUAGUUCCAGAGUUUUUAUAUCCAACAAUUGAUAAGCAAAAUUGUAUGUCUGCAGAUCCGGUGGACCAUAUCCAUUCGACCAGGUCUGCAAAUCCGGUGUCCAGUGGGCCAUAUCCAGCCAACCAGGUCUGCAAAUCCAGUGGACCACAUCCUGCAGUCAAGGUUUUUGUCCACCAUUAUUAUGUCCUUCAACUCUUGAGUGGACCAUACUCAAGGUUUGGUCUGACGAUUUGUGUCCACUGCUAACAAAAAAAAAAUGUCCACACUACUAAAGUUUGUAUAUUGAAAGAGAAAUAUGUUUAAGAUGACAUAAAUAAAAAGAUAACAACAAAAGUUAAUUUAAGUAUUAAAUUAUGGACUAUAAAUAUAGGACAUAAAUUGUAGACACACUUUUUUAUGAAAAAUAAAUUUAUGUCCAUAGUUAAUAUUGUCUACCGCAGAAACUGUAAAAUCUUAUAUCAAAUAAUUAAUAGUUAGUUUUU